rnacentral:tRNA from 1 species
GGAGGGGAAUGGGGCCCGGUGGCUCCCCAGGACUUCAAAUCCUUUGUUGAGGCAUGACUGUCUUUGGAGGGUUCGACUCCCUCUCCUCUCCGCCA